rnacentral:rRNA from 1 species
AUGGGCGGGCCAGGGGAGGACAAGCGCAGACGACCCGCGCGUCCGCGUGGUGUCCGUUUCACCCCAAAAACGAUGCAAACUUGGGCUGCGGAUGGGUCGAAAGCGGACACAAAACGGACAAAAAUCCGUUUGCGCCCACGCGUUGGGCCGUCUCGUUUGUCUUUUUUACUUCAAACGGACGGGGGCGGACAGGAUAGAGUCGCGCGGUGGAGUUGGCCUGAUUGUGAGAGAGAGAGGGCGACGGGGAGUCGGGGAGGGACGAGAAAUCGUGCAAUCUUAUCACGAAGAGAAAGCGUGAGGUGA